rnacentral:sRNA from 1 species
AGUACUAAUUCAUGGAAUUUUGAGGUCUUUCCAUUUUCUACUGCCAUUUCUACUUCACUUCCACAGUUAGGCUUAUUCCUAGAUAUUUACCUUCCUUUAGGCUAUUGUCAAUGGGAAUCCAUCUGGCACAACCAUAUCCACUGGAAAUGUCAAGAGUCGUGUAGCCAGCUCAGCUGCUUGACAAAGUUCCAGCAAAGCUAAUCAGAUUGUCGUGUUUGCUGUCCUUCAUUUUCUGACAUUUGUGUUUUGGUCUUUGUGUGUUGCAUUUUGGAGACUUUCUUAAUUAUAAUUGAUUUUAUGUCCCGAGAAGAAUUAUGAAUGUGUCUUUUUAGGAAAAUUCUAAAGUGAAGAUUAUCAGGCCACUAUUUUGAAGUCUUCCUGUGCCCUGGAGAUCACUAAGCAGAGGACCUCAGACUGACUGCUCAGUCCUUCCACCCGCCUAUGCAGAUGCAAGCCCAGCCUUCUUUAUUAUCCAAAGUCAACUAGAAUCUAACCAGCCAGGUGGCCCUACUGUGUGACCCCCAUGGAUCUCAGCACUACCUCCUAUGAAUCACCACCUGGAUUGGAAUAUUUACUUCAGAUAGAUCAUAUUCUGAUUCACCAGCAGUUUGAGUUUGUGGAAGGUGUGUAUUUGCCAUUUUCAUCGUAUUUCUAGAAAGACGACAACAGUAAAGGCAUGAUGAACACCACAAGCACAGCGUUCUGGAUGAUGAGGGAUGGAAACCUUGAUCUCUUACAAUGGCUUUCCUCAAGGUCUUUAAACAAGUAGUUUUAUCUGGAUAUUUCAUUUCUGCCACUUAGGGGUUGGUAAAUGUUAUGUUGGCCAGCUAUCCACUAAUUUGAAAGAGCACACCUAAAACUUACCUUUUCUCCUAUCUCUGCAAAGCAUUGCAUGCUUCACCACACCCUACCAGGUUUCUUAGCUGCUUUCUGCCUUGCAAAGACCAGCGUGAGACUUGUACAGAACCUCAGGCAAUGUGAGUGGUCCUUUGGAAUUGGGAUGGAGAUUCUCUUUAAAAAUCUCUGUUAAUGCCCUCACCAUGGAAUCCAGGUUUUAUAGUGCUCCUGGGCAUGGCCCUGUUGUAUUAGAGUUGCUGAGCAGAAUAUGGACCAGGUGCCUACAGAAGUGACCUCAGAUCUGAUAUCUACAGUGCAAAAAGGAACUGAAGAAGCUCCCAGAACAUCAUGAUACCUGCCACGGGAGGCAGACCAUAGGAGGAUGUAUGAAUCACAGUAUCUGCUCUUGAUCAGAACAUGCUAAACACUUAAUUGAAAUCAAGAGUAGAUCUUUUAAAUUCAUUCUCAUCUGUUUAGAAAGUUCUUUUCCACUCAAAAAAAUUAGAACAUGCAUUGUAUGGUGU